CUUCGGCCCGUAAACCCCUGUCAUUUGUGCCAAACCUUCCGAUCUAAUAAGUCGGAAGCUGAUGGUAGCGGAAGAGGAAGGGACGGCUAACUCUGUGC
rnacentral:rRNA from 1 species